AGUUAUUUAUUGAUGAAAUGGUUGCAGAGCCAGCCCUGGAUUUAUGUAACUACGCAUAUGGUUUUAAAAUGGAAAUAAAUUAAUAUUAAUAGUAGUAGUAUUCAUAAUAUUUUUAAUUUUCCUGAUUACUACAUCCAUGUUUCGAGGCCUUUCUCCCUGUUUGUAAGUAUGUUUUAAAGAAAAAAGUUCUUUGAUUGGAUUUAACUGUGGCGUGUAUGCUGUCAGAUGCUUAAUAGCUAUACCAAGAGAGGCUAGUGUUUCCCAAACAGAAAGACUCUAGUAGAAUUUACAAUUGUCCAUAACAAGCACUGGCGCUUCUACAUUUGCAUUCCUAAUCGCUGGUGCCAUCAUUGUAGUUAUAAAAGUACGAAAUGAAUCUAAGCAACUUUUCGCCGAAGCCAAAAAAAUUCGUGCAACAGAUGCAAAGAAAUUACAAACGAAUACCAAGUUGGUUAGAGUCUAAUGCUCAUGCAAUUAAAACUGCUAUGGUAAUCUUUUGAAUUUGAUAGUUACUCACUCUGAGUAAUAUAGAAUAAUGUUUUAAAUCAAAUUAACCGCAGAAAAUGAAUUUCAAUAAACUGGUCAUUUUGUUUAUAUUUCAACAAACAACAUAAAUAUAUUAUUAAUUUGAAGCCGGAAGAAAGCAUUGAGAGUCUUCAACAAAAGCUCACAUAUAUGAUCAUAUUGCAAAUAUUGAAAGUCCUCUUCGUUGGUAAAUAAAUGUCAAACAAUAUGUUUGGAUAAUGCAAGCAAUUGUUAAGCAGUUAUAUUUAUUAUUGUUUAGUUUCUUUUUAUAUAUUUAUAGUAUAAACUACAACUGUAAUCUUCUUGUAUAUUCACAGUUUUUAAUAUUAGUUUGUAUAUUUAUUUAGUUAUGUUUUAGUUAAGAUAAUCUAUUUAUUAUAAUAUUUUAAUUUUAAACAAAUGAACUGAAUAAAAAAUUAUCUUGACAUUAUUUUGCCAACUAAAGUUUAAUGUUAACAUUUAGUUGUUGAAAAACCUGUAAUAACUGAUUUUUAUUUUCAGAUUUUAAUUUAAGGUAGUUUUUAUUUUAGCCUAAAUAACCAUACCUAAUUAAGGCUAGCCAAUGCUCUUACUGUCUUUCCAAAAAAAAAUUAUUUUUGACACAAUUAGGACUACUAUUAACUAUUACUAUUUUAUAAGACUUUUAACUUUAGGAUUUUAAUUAUGAUACAAACAUUUAACUGUAUGAUUUUAAUUAUGACAAUUAGAUACAAACAUUUAAUUAUAUGAAGUUAAUGAGCUAGCAAGUAAAAAACUUACUUUGAUUAAACGUUGCUUAAUUAGAUAAUAAGAAUAUUAACUCUUCAAAGUUUAGGAAAUAUAAGAAUAUUAACUCUUCUAAAAAGAUUUUUAAAUAUUUUUUUAUUAAUAAAAAUUUAGGUUUUAUUAUUAUUAUUAUUAUUUUUCAUUGUGUUUAGUUUUCAUUAUUAUCUUGUUAUUGUUAAAACUACUAAAAUUUACGUUUAUUUCAGAAUAAAAAAUAAAUAAACAAGAGAAAAAAUCAAUACAUGAGGGAAUGGCGCUAAAAUAGCCAAGCCUUAAAUAAUAUACUUGUAAAUGAAAAAAUCGCAACUCAUCGAAUGUCAAAUCCAAAAUUAAUGAAGUCAAGAAUUGCAUUGAUUUCAAAAAAAAAUUAAAAUUGAGAACUAUAGUGACUUUUAAUUUGUGUCUGAUCAUAAAGAUAUUUCUAAAAUUGAGAGUUCUGAUCUAGACUCUGAAUACCUACAUAUGAUGCUAAUGAUUAUCUUAAUGAAGGAGUACAUGUUACAGUGAUUGCCAAAUGGAUUUUAAAACACUUAAUAACUAGAAAUGCAAGUGAUGAACUGUUAUUUUUAAUUUUACACCAGUAUGGUCAUCAUGUUAAUUUACCAAAAUGCGCAAGGACAAUUUUAAAUUCUCCUAGGAAUGUUCCAAAGUGCCUGAAUUUUCAUCAAAAAUGGAAACCAAAAAAAUUGGUAUUGAGAAAUCGUGUUCAAACUCAAGCUCAGAUGAAAAACUACAACUAUUACAAACUCUGAGAAAAUCAAGCUGUGGCUGAAGUUAACAACCAUUUUUUCAAAAUGUGUUGAGGCAACUAUAAAAACUAAAAGCUGAAGUUAAAGUGCAUGGGCAGAAACAUGCCCAAAUUGGACAAACCAUAACUGCAACUCUCCCAGAAGGCCUGACCUUUCCACUCGAAGAGAUAAUGAUCUUCUAGAAUUCAACAGAAUUCUUAUGAAAAUUUCUGAGCAGAGAUCAAUAACAGUGCAUUAAGAAAAAACUAUGCCACAGCAACAACUUAGUUAUGGUUGUCGGGUUCAGCUGAUAGAGCUGGCCUUCAAAGAAAUUGUGAGGAGACGCGUAAAAAUGUAGAAAAUAAACUAUUUUGUCAGUCUUGGUGGCUGUAAUUGUAAAGAUACGAUUCGAUGCAUUUUUACAGCAGCUAAUAAUCAAGUUUGGCCGUUUUUCAGUUUCAACGGCCGAAUAGGAAAACAGUUAUUUGAUAGGUUUUUGUUCUGCCAAUUACAAUGAAUCGUCAGGUAUACAGAUGGAAGUGAAUGGCAGCAAUAUGCGGGAAGUUCACCUAUUUUUUUUUUUUGUCAGCUGCUGCAGAAGCUAUUGACCCACCAUCUGCAUUUGUAAGUUAGGUGAAUCUAGCGCAUAUUUUAUCAACUGAUAGCAUGCAUAUUGAAAAUGGUUCGUAGAACUUACAAUCCUUUAGUAAAUUUUUCACAUUAAGAUUUCUCAUUCUCUAAAAAAGAAGAAGUUAGAGAGGUGUUAAAGCACGCUCCUAGUCGACCAGGUAGAGUUAACUAAGAGACAAAAUUUACAACAAAUGUUCAAAAUAAAGAUGCGUUGCAGCAAAAUUUUGAAGAAAGUUCUGACAGUACGAGCUAGCAAAUGUUAAAUGACCAGAUUAAAAAAAAAUGUAUUUGUUUAGUGGCUAAA